UAAUUAACAGCACCCCUUCUAGAAUUAGGUAAAUCGGUUCGGAACCAAAUCAUGGACCCGGGUUGGGCAGUGGCAGAGCCAGGAAUAUAGUAUGAGGAGGGCCAAGUGUAGUAAAUCCUUAUUAAGGAGGGCCAGCUCAUAAGAAUACAUCAUUUUUGCAACCAUUGAUCAUCUAUUAGCAUGCAUAUUAGGCUUAAUACAACAAUGUUAGGAGGGCCAGGGUCCCUGCUGGUCCCCCCCCUGUCUCUGCCACUGGGGUUGGGUAGCUGUAGAACUCCCCGUUUCUAGGAUCCGAGUACCCAUUAUGGCGGCGCCGAAAUGGUGUGAACCAUGAGAGCCCUCAGUGCGACUCGUUCGCCCGAGGCUUCAACGCGUUGUCCAGAAGUGACGCGACCAUCAGCGCUAAUGUUGGGCCGGAGCCAAAACCUGUGUUGAAAUUUGCAAGCAUUUUUUGAAAUUUGAGAACAAUUGGAAAUUUGCAAACAUUUUUUGAAAUUUGAGAUUUUUUUUAAAUUUGGGAAUAAUUUUUAACAUUCAUAAACAUUUCUUGAAUUUGUGAAUACUUUUGGCAUCGACGACCAUUUUUAGAAAUUCGUAAACAUUUUUUUGAACUCAUAAACAUCUACUGAAUUUGUUAACAUUUUACAAAUUUAUAUACAUUUUAAAAUUCAAGAUUAUUUUUCUAAAACCGAGUUCAUAUUUGAAACACAUUGAUGUUUCUGAAAUCUAAAACAUAUCCUGAAAUCAAAUAUUAUUAAAUUUCAGAACAUUUUCUAAGAAUUUAGAACAUUUUUUAAUUCAUGAACAGUUUUUGAAAUUCAAAAGAUCCGGAUACUCUUUAAAGAAGAAACAAAAGCAAUAUUGCCCCGCCCCGCACAUGAACCGGCUCAAAAGCGCGUGCGGGAGAGCGGAGUGUGCGCAUUGGCUUGAUUUCCGCCGCAUGGUUCGAGGAAUCGGAGCUCCCGCCGACACCAGCAAUCUGGUCGUGGCGACAACAGGGCUCAGUUCUGACAACGCGUGGUCGUCUGCGUGUAGAAGCAUGACAAUAUGUCCCAUUCUCGUCCCCAUCGGGUAAACCGAAGCUCGAGCCUCCACUUGCGCCGAGAUGGCCAGCCACCUCGUCCAUGCGUGUAGGGGGAGGCACGUUUCAAAUAUCCAUAAUGAUGGAAGGUGAUGGCUAUCAUCAGGAUUAUUUGGUAGCACAGAUGUGAAUCGUGAAGAAAUACAACUAUAUAAGGCCCACUUGCGCCGAGAUGGCCAGCCACCUCGUCCAUGCGUGUAGGGGGAGGCACGUUUCAAAUAUCCAUAACGAUGGAAGGUGAUGGCUAUCAUCAGGACUAUUUCGUAGCACAGAUGUGAAUCGUGAAGAAAUACAAUUAUAUAAGGCCCACUUGCGCCGAGAUGGCCAGCCACCUCGUCCAUGCGUGUAGGGGGAGGCACGUUUCAAAUAUCCAUAACGAUGGAAGGUGAUGGCUAUCAUCAGGAUUAUUUGGUAGCACAGAUGUGAAUCGUGAAGAAAUACAACUAUAUAAGGCCCUGUUCGGUAAAGGUCCGCUUCCGGAAUCUGCAGAGUGGCUAAAUGGCAACUCCACCAUUUUAGACUACAGCUCCACCAACUCCGUUCCAGGAGUUGUGGAGCGGAGCGUUUCCGAACAGCCCCUAAGUACUGAAUAAAUUAUGCCCAGUUGAAUCCACAAUCGAAAGUUUCAGGAAGAAUGGAAAGUUUCAGAAAGGAAAGGUGACUAUCAUAAGUUUGGAACAUGCCUCCUGCACAAGUAGUGAAUUGAUGACACUGUGUUUAGGGUCAUGUUUAAUCGCCCCAACCUCUCAAGUUGGGCGUUGUCACAGAAAUGAUCUGGUAGGUCCGCAACCAACUCAAGCACUCCAACUUAUAAGGGGAACAAACAAUUACAGACAAUUGAAUAACCCGAAUUGGCCAGGAAAGAACACCGAGAGCUCCAAAAUUUUAUAGUCUCACAAGCCCACAAAAGUGAGGCUCCACAGCAAAUUUGUUUCAUUAACAUCCAAAGCAUCAUAAGCUUGCUUUCUCUCCCCCCCUAACCGACUAAGAAAGCCAGGAAUCUAAUAGAAUGUUCAUCUCUCUAGCAGCGUUUGGCCCGGCUGAGAACACAGACUGGCACGAGCUGCUAGAGUGCAUCGCGCUCCAUGAGCCGGAUCUUGCGAUUGGCGCUGACCGGGCCAGGUGGCGGCUAGAGCCAUCUGGGCAAUUCUCCAUCAAAUCUCUUUACCAGGCCAUCUCUCCCUCUCUAGGGCCUAAGGCCCUCACCACCAUCUAGGAGAUUAGGCUCCCCUUGAAGAUUAGGAUUUUCUUAUGGCAGUGGAUUCGCGGCCGUCUCCCCUCUGGCGUGGAGGUCCUGAAGCGCAAUGGCCCAGGAGAUGGGCGAUGCCCGCUCUGUGGGCCUGAAGAAGAUUCGAACCAUAUCUUCUGCACCUGCAUGUCCGCGCAGUUCCUAUGGAGUUGUUUCCGCGAAAUAAUGGAUGGAAGCUGGGACCACAACAACUUCCCCGCUCUUUUCGCCGAACUCCAGGCGUUAGCUCCCCCAAUUCGCCACAUCAGGUGGCUGGUCAUUGGGGUGCUCACCUGGACGCUGUGGACUGUUAGGAAUAAACUUGUGAUUCAGCGCAUUCCUCUGCGACGUGCUACUGGCGCUUUGUUCAAAUGGUCGGGUUUCUUGCAGCUUUGCGGCCGCCUAGCCGUUCCCGGGAGAGAGACGCCAUCACCUCCAUCAUCACCCAGCUUCGCUCGAUGGCUCUCCAGAUGGCUCCUCCGCUACCCCCUCCAUCGCCGGAGCCGGAUUAGUUCUCCUUCACCUAGCCGCCCCUGUUAUGUAUGUUGUGUGUGUUUUGUGCCGGUGUUGGGCUUGUUGUGCUAUGCCCACAGCUGAACCUGGGUGUCGUGUGAGUGUUUGUUCGUCUGCCCUGCCUGCGGUGGCUUUGUGUGCGUGUAUUUGUGUGGUUGGACCCUUGUUACUUUGUGCUCGGCGGUCGCUUUAUUUAUAAAACGGGGCGAAAGUCUUUUUCGAUAAUAUCGUAGAAAUGAAGGUGUAACCAGAAGGGGGGCGGCCACUCUUGUAUAGACUACUAGAUGAUAUCAUAGCACUGCACCAGUGAUGCGCUAUGUGAUCUCUUGCAAUACAUUAUAGCACCUGUGCUCAAACAUGAUGAUAUGCUUACAUCACAACUCUGCAAAUGGGUAUUAGAGUAUGCACAGCACUGAGACUAGGUCUAGGAGCGUCGCAUAAGGGUGUAACGGGACAUUCACCAUAACACAGGCACUAUAGGCUGCUGUUCUUGAAAGGAAAACAGGCACUAUAAGCUGCUGUUCUUGAAAGGAAAACAGGCGCUAUAGGCUACAAAACAGUGCAACCCGGCUGCUCAAGCACUCCAGUUGACAGGAGGGCUCCGAGAUUCAACUUCCCGGGCGGACGUAAAAGCAUGCCCUGCAGUUUCAGCUGCCCCGACCAUAGCAGCAAAGCGUUGCUUGCCACAUGGAAGUGCUGUGAGCAAGGCAACACGAAAGCUCCAUAUUCCCAAUGCCUCACAAUCUCACGAUAGCAAAUGCAGGCCUUUGCCAAACGAAAACCGUGCUUCAUUUUCCUGUCAUCGGUCGUCUCUUCAGGCUGCUCUUUUAUAGACCAAAAGAUAUCGACCAUGUGAAACCUGCAAGUUCAUCAGAGUACGCAUACCUACCAGCCUUUGAUUUUGAGCAUCUUAUGAUAAAAUGCAGAAGAAAAUUAGGCCAGUUUACUUGCAAAGAUUUCAUAAACCAAUGCACGCACUGAAGGUUCAUCAACACAUCGCUGCCUCAGUAACCGAUAAUUGAGGUACUAUCAUCCUUUUGCGUUCAUUUUUCCCCAGAGACAGCAUUACACCCGGACAAUAAAACUCUACGUCAACCAUGUAACCAACUCCUUGGCCCAAACGGCCAACAACAGCAACGACGGAAGUCCUAGCAUCCUUGUACCAUAUAUCCCACUAAGCUGAAACCUGUGACCGCACCAAUCGCUACGGGCCACAGGGGGUAAAAGGCUAACAAGAACAAAGGGGAUUUACAUUGCACAGCAGCACAGGAUAAUUAGCAGCACCCCUUCUAG
rnacentral:lncRNA from 1 species